AGGUGACUCUACGGGGCAGCAACCUUUGAGAGCCACUGGCAGGAGGAAGGGGAAAGCCAGAGGCUGGGUCAGGUAGAAGCCACCAGCGACCUGCCAUUCCCUCCCAAAGCAGGGCCACGCAGGGGGCGUGGAGAGACCAGCAUCAGGGAGGCCGGGAGACCCGCUGCCCCGGACAGUGACAGUCUGGGUGCCUGCGGUUGGACAGACACUGGCUGCACAAAGACGCGGGGUUAGAGGAACUCCUCAGGAACCCCGACUCUCCGGACGCCUGGAAAACGCUUCGGAUGGAUUGGACACAAUUUCCUGUCCCAAAGGAGAUGUCUCCCAGAAGGAAGUAGAAGACUCAAGCCAGGAGAAGACACAGGACUGAUUCAAGGCUGUGGGCCCAGAAGUAACCUUCCUUGAGGUCUCUUCAGCAACAGAAAAUACCCAGAGACUCUCACACCUUUAUUAGCAGACCUUGUUUUGUUGUUCUUUUCCUCCUUGGAUACCAGAAGCUUCAGAAGAAAUGACCUCAUCUCCUACACCAGGCAGCUCUGGAUGGUAAGAACGGUCUCUCUGACAGACACUUCCAUUGCCAAUUCUCCCAGAUUAACAGCGGUUUCAUAGAACAGCACUCUGACAGGGAGGGAAAGAAAGGGAGGCAGAUUUAUACUUAAUUCGUGAACAGCGUCAAGAGGAGGAUGGGUUCUGCCGAGAAUGUCUUCAUCUUUGGAAGGAUUAUUAAAGUCAGAGCUUAUUCCUCAUGUGAAUCAUCGAGAUUUAAGGCAAGAAUCGUUUUGUAUGAGAACGGUAACCAGUCGCAGGGAAGGCUCUGGAAGACAGCCUCCCAGGCCGGGCUGUGGGCCCUCCUGCACGGGCUGGGGGAUUCAGGGCAAGCAAGCCGAAGGUUCAUUUGAUCAGGGAGGAGGCCUGGUCCUCACUCCCCGGUCCCUGAAAUGUGGACUCACGUAGCAGGAAUGCCAGAAACGUGUCUGGGGGAGCCCAUCAGGUUGACCAGAAGCAUCGCCCUGCUUCGCUCAGCCCAGUGUGAUUUGGACAGGCUGCCCCAUCUCCAGUUGGAAAAUUGCUUGUCUUCAGUUUCCUGUCUUUUCAUCUGGUCCUUCAUUUUCAAUUGUUACCUUUGGUUCUGAGUGAGGAGGACACGUGCCUUUUUUGGGGGGUAAAUAUAGACCAGGCUGAACAUAGCAC